rnacentral:rRNA from 1 species
GAUGAACGCUGGCGGCGUGCCUAAUACAUGCAAGUCGAGCGAACAGACGAGGAGCUUGCUCCUCUGACGUUAGCGGCGGACGGGUGAGUAACACGUGGAUAACCUACCUAUAAGACUGGGAUAACUUCGGGAAACCGGAGCUAAUACCGGAUAAUAUAUUUAACCGCAUGGUUCAAUAGUGAAAGACGGUUUUGCUGUCACUUAUAGAUGGAUCCGCGCCGCAUUAGCUAGUUGGUAAGGUAACGGCUUACCAAGGCAACGAUGCGUAGCCGACUUGAGAGAGUGAUCGGCCACACUGGACCUGAGACACGGUCCAGACUCCUACGGGAGGCAGCAGUAGGGAAUCUUCCGCAAUGGGCGAAAGCUUGACGGAGCAACGCCGCGUGAGUGAUGAAGGUCUUCGGAUCGUAAAACUCUGUUAUUAGGGAAGAACACAUGUGUAAGUAACUAUGCACGUCUUGACGGUACCUAAUCAGAAAGCCACGGCUAACUACGUG